GCAACACGGGAGCGGCAGACGGGAGAGUAACACGUGGGAACGUGCCCUUUGGUUCGGAACAACCCAGGGAAACUUGGGCUAAUACCGGAUAAGCCCUUACGGGGAAAGAUUUAUCGCCGAAGGAUCGGCCCGCGUCUGAUUAGCUAGUUGGUGGGGUAACGGCCCACCAAGGCGACGAUCAGUAGCUGGUCUGAGAGGAUGAUCAGCCUCACUGGGACUGAGACACGGCCCAGACUCCUACGGGAGGCAGCAGUGGGGAAUAUUGGACAAUGGGCGCAAGCCUGAUCCAGCCAUGCCGCGUGGGUGAUGAAGGCCCUAGGG
rnacentral:rRNA from 1 species